rnacentral:rRNA from 1 species
GCUUAGCCCUUAACAUAGACAAUACCAACACAAUAUUGUCCGCCAGAGAACUACAAGUGAAAAACUAGAAACUCCAAGGACUUGGCGGUGCCCCACAUCAACCUAGAGGAGCCUGUCCUAUAAUCGAUAAUCCACGCUGUACCUUACCAUUUCUAGCAACUCAGCCUAUAUACCGCCGUCGAAAGCCUACCUUAUGAAAGAAACAAAGUAAGCAAAAUAGUCAACAACUAAAACGUCAGGUCAAGGUGUAGCACAUGAAAUGGAAGAGAUGGGCUACAUUUUCUACCCUAGAAAAUACGAACAGCACAAUGAAACAUGUUCUCAAAGGCGGAUUUAGCAGUAAGACAAAAAAGAAACUUUGCCUUAAACCCGCU